rnacentral:lncRNA from 1 species
CGCGAGAAGUUCAUUGAUUUGGUGAUGUCAAUGAAUUUCAUUUUUGAGAGGUGAGCGUUGUGAGUAUUUUGAUGUAAUUUUGAGUUUUGUCACGAAAUUGCCAAAUAGGGAGAUUGUUACGGAUUUUAUGUUAGCAUAUUUCGUGAAGUUAGUCCGGAGUCUAGAAGGUUUAAAGAAGGAAAGAUGAAGAUCGAAGACUCGAUGACUUAAAACAUAAAUCCACAAUGCUCGAUAAGUUAAAAUACUAUUGUUGAUGAUUUAUAAAUAUUAACAAGUGUUUGGAAGACUUAGGAUGGGUUUUAAAAUGAAUUGGACUAAAUUGAACCUGUCAAGGUUCAGGGACCGGUCCUUGAUUAGAGGGACAAGACCCUAAGGUUCUCUCUGCGUAAAGAAACGAUGCAACCGGUCUUUGAGAUGAGAGACCGGUCCCCGUAGCAAGGUUUUUUGGCUACGCAACGAGAGACCGGUCCUUGAGAUGAGAGACCGGUUUCCGUGGCAUGUGUUUUUCUUCUACGCAAUGAGGGACCGAUCCCUGGCUUGAAGGACCGGACCCUGAGAGACCGGACCCCUCGAGAGGACCGGUCCCUGAAACCGUAACUGUUUCCAAAAUUGAGUAUUUACAAUCCUAGUCUACUUCUAAAUCUUCUAAACCUAUAAAUAGGAUGUGGGGGUGUUUCUAAAAGAUGGCUAAGCAUAGAAUAUCUUUUUGAAACCCUAGAAACUUGUUGGGUGCUUUCUUUCUUCUCUCCAACAACAAGUUUCUAUUGGAUCUGUAACAUACCAGAUUUUGGUAUAAAAAUAAAAAUAAAUAAAAAUAGUGUGAGAUACUAUUUUUAUUGAAUUUAGAGAAGUAAAAUAUAAGUCAGAAGCGACUUGUGCUGAAAUCGGAAUGAAAACAGAAGAUCUAGAAUUUUUUGUUGAAAACGGGACAGAUAAAUUAGCAGAAAUGCAUAGUGUCAGAAAAUUAUGAAAACUGGAGGGUAAGUCAGAAUUAUUUUUAUGAGGCUAGAUUUAAAGUUUCAUGUCAUUCUGUCACCCAGAAGGUGAAAAAUAAAAUCCGACAGCUAUCUGAUAAAGAUUACAGUUCGGUACAAUUUUCAGUGACCAAACGGGGUCGAAACUGAAAACUUAAGAUAUAUUCUUACUCAGUACGUUAAACCGAGCAUGCCUGUCAAAUUUGAGCCGAAACGGACAUUCAAAAGGGCUCCGACUUUUGCGAACUGCUAAACUGCCCGGGAUGAAUAGUGUUUGAGGGGUUAUUAUGAAGAAGCUGUUGCUUCUUCUUCUUCUUCGGCCGCACACCACACACGCACACGACCCACAUACACCCGCAUGGAAAGGGAAAGAGAGAACCCUCCCUUUCUCUCUCUAAAUCUCUCCCAAAUUAAAGGAAUUGGUGGAGAUUGAAGCUUGGAGGAAGGUCAUCUUCUUCAUCUUCCUCUUUAGCCAUUGGAGAGCAAACUUUGAUGGUAAGCUUUAAGAGUUUUAAUGGCAUCUCUCUCUAGUUUGGGUUUUAAGCUCCAAGAAUGGAUUUAGAGCUAUUCUAGCAUGCUAAAUAGAUGAUUGUUGCUCAAAUCAUGGAUCAAUUUAGUGAUUUCUUGCCUAGUUGUAAACCUAGGGCUUGAAAUGAGCUUCUUGAACCCUCUCAUGGUAGAUCUUUAGAGCCUUAAUUAUAUGCUCUANAUAGUUUAACCAAGAGUGGCAUUGAGACAAGAAUGGCCUAGAAAGUGGCAUGAACAAAUAGGUAGAAAACCUAUCAUAAAAGUGGCAUUGUGACUAGUGGCUAAGUAUCCUCAUGUUGGGGAUUCGAUCGAUACUCAUGAUAAGUCUUGGCUUGAGGGUGGUAGCUCCCCCUCAAGCGGUGAGUUUCCGAAAAUAGUCACCUCGGGGAGCGAGGUCCCCGUAGACGGUCCCUUGGGUCGGUAGUGCUUGGAGCCUCCCCGGUUAAAGGGAUUUGGGUUAUGAGUUAUUGGGGUUAAUAAGGUUAACCGGUAAGAUUGGGUCAAAGCCAAGUAAGAGUUACUUUUCAAAGAAUAUACGCACUACAAUGUGAUUGACUCGAGAUCGAGUUGGGUGGUUAGCUUGGCUAGGAUAGAGAGGAAAACCUUAGGAGCAAAUAACCAAUGAUGUAAAGUGACAAGAUGUAUAAAUUAUGGAAAAGCUAUAGAUAGCAUGAUAGAAACUAAAAUCAUUUAUUUUACUUGUAUAGUUGCAUGGUUUCAUAUUACAUAUUGCGAGGCAAGACAUGUAGUUCAAUAUCGAAUAAAUGUUUAAGUAUUUGUUAUAUGUUAUUGGACUAACCUGUUGCAGUGCCUCAUUAGACCUAUUGGUUGAGCUUUUCCCUUGGGUGGCCGUACCCACUGGGAACCAUAGAGUUGGUUCUCACCCCACGUUGUUUUGGGGUGUUACAGGUUCACACGUGAGCGCGCAGUGGCGCGAGGCGAGGGCGUAGCUCUGUAGUUAGCGCCCUACCAUCGAGACCAGAGAUAGUGGUACCCUGAGUCGGCCUUACUUAGGGAUGUAAGGAAAUGAAAAGAAUCAAGUUGUAAUAAUAUUGUUAAAGCUAGAUUGUAUUUGGAAGCUAAAAAGAAUGUAAUAUGUAAUUGUGAUGUAAAAUGUAUCUAGUGAAUGUGAAUGCUUGUAAUAACAAGUAGAUUAUGUCUUGAUAUUUUCUUAUGCAAUCUUUGAUUGAAAUGUAUUCCUAGUUGGAACUUCAUAUAUUGUAUUGAUUGCGACGCCUUGAAUGUACAGGGGAGACUCUGUCAGCGGUACAGGAAAAACUCUGUCCAUUCGGCGGUCUGUCGGCGGCGCCGCAACCCGGCCAAAUAGGUGGGUGGUCGCGGGUUGUGACAGGAUCAAUUCUUGAAACCCUAAUUUCUUGUUCUUCAUGGAGAAUUGAUCCGACUAUUGCUUAGAAACACCUUCUACGAUUUUUUAAUAAUUAUCUAAGCAAUAAAACAUCAUCGAUCGUAUUGUUCUUGCUCUGGACGGAGUGUGCUCGUGGAUUCGAGUGGGCGUCGUGGAUUCGGCGUGAUCAAGGCUUCGUGGAUUCGAAGUGUGGAGUUUCAUGGAUUCGGGACGUGGCGUUCAUGGAUUCGGACGUGGGGCGUGGACAACCCGUUGGUGUGCGCGAGAUCCGGAGAAGAUAAAAGAGAGGUUUGAAUCCGUGGAUUCGGUAAAUCAUCUUGUAAUCUUUUAUUCUUAGUGGAUUGUUAUCGCGUGUUGGUCCCGUGGGUUGUUUACUCAAAGUUGGAGUUUUUCCAUGUAAAUCUCGGUGUGAUUUUCACUUUUUGCAUUUAUUUUUAUCGCAUUGAGAUUUGUGGUUUUUGGCCAUUACACCUAUUCACCCCCCUCUAGGUGUUAGAUACAAUCUAGAUAGAUCCUUGGGCUCCCUCAAAACUUACAAUUGGUAGCAGAGCGGGAUCUAGAUAAAUUGUUAUCUAAUGGCCGAAGGCGGAAACAUUAAUCGACCACCGCUCUUCGAUGGCACGAAUUAUGCCUAUUGGAAAGCUCGCAUGAGAGCUUUUCUAAUCGCAAUCGAUGAGCAUGUUUGGCAAUCAAUAAAAUUUGGAUGGAAACAUCCUAUUGAAAAGGUCGAGAAUGUUGAAACGCCGAAACCACAGAAUAAGUGGACGAAGGAUGAAAACGAGUUAUCUUCGUUUAAUGGUAAGGGCGUAAACACUUUAUUUAAUGCAUUGUCUCAAAUGGAGUUUACUCGUGUUUCGGCGUGUAAUACCGCCAAAGAAAUUUGGGAUACUCUACAAAUUACACAUGAGGGUACAAGUCUAGUAAAAAUUCAAAAGCUCAAGAUGUUGACUAGUCAAUUUGAUUCGAUUCGUAUGAUGGAGCAUGAAUCUUUUACCGAUUAUUAUACUAGACUUCAAGACAUAAUCAAUACAUGUGCUAAUUUGGGAGAGAAGAUCCCGGAUUCUAAAAUUAUUAGAAAAAUUCUUCAGAUUCUUCCGGAAUGCUUUCGGGCAAAAGUUGCCGCAAUUGAAACCGUAAAGCAUCCGGACGAGAUGAAAAUAAAAGAGUUAGUAGGUGCUUUGCAAACUUAUAAGAUGACUUUUCCUACUAACCAAUCUUCUUCCAAGUCUACAAAGGAAGAAGACGACUCGAAUUCCGACGGAGAUAUUUUGCUCGCUGAUUUUGAACAUCAACUGACGCUCUUAACGAAGAAAUUUCGACGGAACUUUCGGAAAAACAAAGCUUCAUCCUCGAAACAAACAUCAUUUUCUAAACAAUCUUCGAGUUCUAAAAUGAAAGACAAAAAACUUGCAAAACCUUCUAAAGAAAAAGAUGAGUUUGAAGGGGAAAUUCAAUGUUAAAAAUGCAAAGGCUACGGCCAUAUUUCUACGGAUUGUCCUACUAAGAUAUCAUAUAAGAAGAAGGCUUUGCAAGUGAGAACUUGGGACGAUUCUACCUCUAAUGAAUCGAGUUCAAGUGAAGAGGAGAAAAUUAAUGUUGCUUUAUGCUCUCAAUCUUCUAUACCUCCCUCUUCAACUUUUUGUUUAUCAUCUAUUAUUUUUGACUCUUUUGUUUCCCCUUCCUUGCAUGGAAUGUCGAGCGAUGAUGGCGAGAGAGAGGGGGAGUCGGAUGAUGAAAGCUUGGCCGAGGCAUACCAACAACUUCUCGAAGAAUCAAAGAAGAUGGCCAAGCACAACAAAAGGCUAAGAAAACGACAACUUGAGCUUGAAGAUGAGAACACUGACUUGAAGAAUGCAUCUAAAACUCUUGAGGAGGAAAGGGAGCAAGUAUUGAAUAAUAAUACAAUUCUCCAAGAGAAGCUCAACCAAUCGGAGAUAACGAUCAAAUCACAUCAAGAAAAGGUUGGUUUUCUAGAACAACAAUAUGAAGAAAUUCGUUCAUCCAAUCAAGUUUUGACCAAACAAGUUUAUCAACUUAAAUCCGACAUUCAAAAGUUUUUCUCCGGUUCGAAAAAGCUAGACCAUAUGCUCGAAUUGGGUCAAACGGAUAAACUGGGACUUGGUUAUAAAAGGACUUAUGUUGAGAAGGAUCAAAAGGCAAUUCGUAAAGUCUCAACAAAUUUGAAAGAGAAAAUUUGCCAUAGAUGUGGUAGUAAAGGACACAUCAAGAAGACAUGCCCUAGAAAAGAAAAGAAACAUCAACCGGCAUGGUCUAUGCAUCUAUCGGCAUCUUCCAAUACUCGACUUCCCCCACAGAUUCCAAAGCAACAUCAAUCAAGUCGCGCACCUCCGAUCAACCAAAAGUCAAAACAAUCGGUACACAACUACAACAAAUCAAGACAACCGAUAAUCCGACAAGUUUGGAUUCGAAAAUGUGAUAUCUUUCCUUGUCUUAAGUCUUUAAUUUGUGUUUGACUUUAUGUUUUGCUAUGAUCGGUUUUAGUGCAUAUCUAUUGAUCAUUGCAUUACAUGUGCUUCGGAUUUUUUCUGGAUCAUUUCGUGAUUAAACAUUAAACAGUGUGUUGAACGUCGAUAAUUUACAUUCAUUCAUUUUGAAUUAAUUUCAUAUUAAUUAUCGGUUUCACUUUAUUAUCACUAUUUAUGAAGAUAAUUUAUAAUAGAAUAUCUUAAUUCUUAUAUUCAUCAAAUUUAAGUAAUCAUGUAUGAUCUUUCGGCACUUAACCUAUCUCGGUUGUGUGUGUUGAAUUUGAUGAAUGAAAAUUUGCUAAUCAACUAAAACUUGUCAAAUUUUCUUUCAUAUAAGAGAUUGCAUAAUUAAGGGGGUGUCAUUUAAUUUUUUUAAAAAAAAGGAGGAAAAGAAGGAAACACUCUAAGUGAUUAAAGUUCAAGUACUUAAAAGAUGUGGAAAGAGUUACAUCUUGAAGGGAGUGUGAAAACUACCACCACAUGUAGGAAAGAGCUACCACCCCGGUCGUCCGGUAAGUGUGUGAAGCUACCACAUGGGAAUUGAUUGAAUAACCGAAAAGGUUGAAAUAUUCAUAUUAUAUAAAAAAAAUUUUCGGUGUAAUAAGGUGGUUUAGUAAAAAGAUGCUUAAAGAGCCACUUCUGGUACAUUAUUGCUUGAUAUAGAAUUUGAACACUUAUGCGACAAAUUUUUAUCAUUUAUUGAAUUUUCAUAAGUCAUCUUUAGAAUCCGUUACAUCUUGAUAGAUUUUGAGCCUUUAGAUUAUUUUUGAUGACUUGAUUUUGAAGUAUAUAUGAGUAAAGAAAUUUUAUUAUAUUUUAUCUACAUCUUGGUGCUCUUGUAGUGAAAUUCUUAUUUUCUAUGAAAUUGAUGUGGAUUGAAAAAAAUCUAUGUGAAUUUAUUAUGUUCAUGCACUGACAAUUGAUUAACUCUCUCAUUUUUGGUACUUUCUUUUUGCAAUUUUUGACAAAAAGGGGGAGAGCGUGGAUGAUUUUGUGGAUGAUUUUCGAGUUUGAAUUUCAAUCUUUUGAUGCAUGAACAAAGGGGGAGAUAUUUUCAUUUUCAUAUUUUUUUUACUACUAACUUUGUUUGUUAACUUUGUUCGUGGAGAAAGUAAUCUUUUUGCAGAUCAUUGAAAACUUCAAGACUCCUAGUUGUGUCUAAGUCAUAGAGUUUGUGUAAGAGUUGCAAAAUUACAAUUUUGUAUUUGUUUGGAUCUUUCACGCGAGAAGUUCAUUGAUUUGGUGAUGUCAAUGAAUUUCAUUUUUGAGAGGUGAGCGUUGUGAGUAUUUUGAUGUAAUUUUGAGUUUUGUCACGAAAUUGCCAAAGGGGGAGAUUGUUACGGAUUUUAUGUUGGCAUAUUUCGUGAAGUUAGUCCGGAGUCUUGAAGGUUUAAAGAAGGAGAGAUGAAGAUCGAAGACUCGAUGA